AUAAAUUUUACCAAAUAAUAAUAGGAACCUCACGAAAUCAGAAUGAAAUUCUGAAAAAAAUAGCAACCUCAUGAGGUCGCUAAAUAUUGUUUAAUCAAUUAAACAUAUAUUACAAAAAUAUCUCACUAAAAAAAACUCUUACUAAAGAUUACACUUCAUUUAAAAAAUCAUUUUUCCUCCCACCAACCCACCCAAAAAAAUACGUCAAAACCAAGCCAACCCCACCCUAACUCCACCCCCACCCAUAAAAAAAACUCACUCUCUUUCCCUCUCACUCCAAUGAACUUACGGCCACCAUCCACCAUCAAUUUUUCCAGUGCCACACAAUUUUAGGCUUUUUUUUAAAGAAAAGAUUAUUUUUUGCGAAUUUCACCCCACAUAUCUUUAAUUUGUGCUUAAUGAGUUUCAUAUUAAAAUUUAAUUUUAUUUUUGGCUUAUAAUUUUGUGAUUAGGGCUGGUGUUUGCGAGUUAAAUGGGAGUUUGUUAGCAAAGUGUAACAACUUGAAGUUCAAUUGGUAUUAAUUUCCUGAUCUGCAUCUUUAUUUCAGGUGAUUUAUUAGUAGUGGAUCAAGUGUAUCAAUCCAAAGUUGUGACUUAUUUAGGGGCAUUUUUCCUCAAUUAUUGGAUAUUGGGAAAUUAUGGGAAAUCAUCUGUUGAGGCUAAUGUAAGGAAGAAUAUCUGGAUAAAAGAUUCGGGUUGAGCUAUUAACUACUGGAGCAUUCCUGUUCUCCCUCAUAUUACUAAUUUGAUCUCAAUUUUGUAUUUUAGAGACAAAUUUGUAUAUAUAUAUAUUGACUAUGUAUUUCUCCUUUUCUCUUGCUCUAUUUGAAGCUCUUAUAUGUACUUCACUAGAGUUUGGUAUUUCAUUUUUAUGUUAGCCUCUUUAUUAGAUUUCUUUCA